CCUACGGGAGGCAGCAGUGAGGAAUAUUGGUCAAUGGACGAGAGUCUGAACCAGCCAAGUAGCGUGAAGGAUGACUGCCCUAUGGGUUGUAAACUUCUUUUAUAAAGGAAUAAAACGAGGCACGUGUGCCUUUUUGCAUGUACUUUAUGAAUAAGGAUCGGCUAACGACGUGCCAGUAGCCGCGGUAAUACGGAGGAUUCGAGCGUUAUCCGGAUUUACUGGGUUUAAAGGGAGCGUAGAUGGGUUGGUAAGUCAGUUGUGAAAGUUUGCGGCUCAACCGUAGAAUUGCAAUUGGUACUGGCGGUCUUGAGUGCAGGAGAGGUAGGCGGAAUUCGUGGUGUAGCGGUGAAAUGCUUAGAUAUCACGAAGAACCCCGAUGGCGAAGGCAGCUUACUGGACGGUGACUGACGUUGAUGCUCGAAAGUGUGGGUAGCAAACAGGAUUAGAUACCCGGGUAGUC
rnacentral:rRNA from 1 species